rnacentral:rRNA from 1 species
GACGAACGCUGGCGGCGUGCUUAACACAUGCAAGUCGAGCGGUAAGGCCCUUUCGGGGGUACACGAGCGGCGAACGGGUGAGUAACACGUGGGUGACCUGCCCUCAGCUCUGGGAUAAGCCUGGGAAACCGGGUCUAAUACCGGAUAUGACUCCAUGACGCAUGUUGUGGGGUGGAAAGCCUUGUGCGGCUGAGGAUGGGCCCGCGGCCUAUCAGCUUGUUGGUGGGGUGAUGGCCUACCAAGGCGACGACGGGUAGCCGGCCUGAGAGGGUGACCGGCCACACUGGGACUGAGACACGGCCCAGACUCCUACGGGAGGCAGCAGUGGGGAAUCUUGCGCAAUGGGCGAAAGCCUGACGCAGCGACGCCGCGUGAGGGAUGACGGCCUCGGUUGUAAC